AACGAACGCUGGCGGCAUGCCUAACACAUGCAAGUCGAACGAGACCUUCGGGCCUAGUGGCGCACGUGUGCGUAACGCGUGGGAACCUGCCCUUAGGUUCGGAAUAACUCCCCGAAAGGGGUGCUAAUACCGGAUAAUGUCUUCGGACCAAAGAUUUAUCGCCUUUGGAUGGGCCCGCGUUGGAUUCGCUGGUUGGUAGGGUAAAAGCAUACCAAGGCGACGAUCCAUAGCUGGUCUGAGAGGAUGAUCAGCCACACUGGGACUGAGACACGGCCCAGACUCCUACGGGAGGCAGCAGUGGGGAAUAUUGGACGAUGGGCGAAAGCCUGAUCCAGCAAUGCCGCGUGAGUGAUGAAGGCCUUAGGGUUGUAAAGCUCUCUUACCCGGGAUGAUAAUGACAGUACCGGGAGAAUAAGCUCCGGCUAACUCCGUG
rnacentral:rRNA from 1 species